GUGAGGAAUAUUGCGCAAUGGCCGAAAGGCUGACGCAGCGACGCCGCGUGAGGGAUGAAGUCCGUUAGGAUGUAAACCUCUUUUGCAGGGGAUGAAUGUUCCCGAUUUAUCGGGACUUGACCGUACCCUGCGAAUAAGGAUCGGCCAACUACGUGCCAGCAGCCGCGGUAAUACGUAGGAUCCGAGCGUUGUCCGGAAUUACUGGGUGUAAAGGGCGUGUAGGUGGGCUUCUAAGUCGGUGGUGAAAUCCUGCAGCUUAACUGCAGAACUGCCUCCGAUACUGGGAGUCUUGAGUACGGCAGAGGGAGAUGGAAUUCAUGGUGUAGCGGUGAAAUGUGUAGAUAUCAUGAAGAACACCGGUAGCGAAGGCGGUCUCCUGGUCCGUUACUGACACUGAGGCGCGAAAGCGUGGGGAGCAAACAGGAUUAGAAACCCUAGUAGUCC
rnacentral:rRNA from 1 species